GAUAUAGCCCAGGAAUAGUUAGCUGGAAGAGAUGCAUAGGGCAAAGUACAGGGAAAGGGCGCCGAGCUUCCAUGCCCUCCUGGAGCACACCUUUCUCCCCGAACCUCCACAUGUUCACCAACCCAGAAGCUCUCCAAACUCCAUCCUUCUGGGUUUUUAUAGAAGCUUUAUUACAUAGGCAUGAUUGAUUAAAUCAUUGGUCAUUGGUAAUUGAACUCAAUCUCCAGCCCCUCGCCUCUCCCCAAGGUUGGGGAGGGGAAUGAAAGUGCCAACCCUCUAAUCACACUGUUGCUUCCUCUGGCAACCAGCAUCCAUCCUUAGGAAGUCAUCUCAUUAAUAUAACAAGAGACGACUGCAUCUCACUCAUAGGAAAGCCCAAGGGUUUUAGGAGCUCUGUACCAGAAACGGGUCAAAGAACAAAUAUAUAUUUCCUAUUAUAAAUCACCACAUCUCAUCUUCAAAACCAGUUCACCACCUACAUGAAGCCUUCUACAUGCCCAGCCUGAAAGUACUCUCUCCUUUUGUUGACGUCUAGUCUGGUGGUACCAAUGCCGGUACCUGUCUCGUACGCUGUUAGAGAUCCGUCUGCAGGCACUCUAGUAGUACCUCCUUCCUCUUUUUGGAAAGUACAUGAGUCAUUCAUCUUCCACCCUACACAGCUCUUACCUGUGGGCCUCACACACAGCAGGUGCUCAGAAAACUUUUGUCAAAGGAGUGGUCAUCUGGAGGGUGUACACGAUAUUGGAAGCGUGUUCUCGGCUUAAGCCAGAUCCUUACUAAGAGUAUCCCCAGGUAAGGAGAAUUGUUGAGAAGUUGAUAACAUUCAGAGGAGAGCCACAGAGAGGAUAAAUAAGUUUAGAAAUAGGCUAAAGGAAGGCAAUUUAAGGGGAAAUAAAACUUGGGAGCUUUCCAGAGAAGUGAGGCACAUUCAUUGAGCUUUUACCCAGAGAACUCACAGCAGCUGUGUUUCUUCCCGAUCAAGACAGAUGAGCAGGGCAUUCACCUAAACAGAAGUAUCAUUGAGAUCACAAAUAGGGAAAAUAUUUCUAAGAGAAGGUGAUUAAACUCUCAGAUGAGUUAUCAUUGGUAGACUUUGAGUCUCCAAAAGGCUAUUAAAAACCAGAUUCCUGUGUGUCAAGGCCAGUGGAGAGGCUCCCUCUGGAAUGAAUGCCACGGAAGGAACUUGACAAUCUGUUCUCUCACACCUCCUGUGCUGGCCAGGUGUCCGCCUGAUGUGGCCCAGCAGUCAGUUCCAGGCUGGUUCCAGCAGGUGGCGGCCGCGCGCAGUGAAAGCCCGCGGGUAGAGCUCGCCAAAAUGGUUAAAAAAAGCAAGUCUACCAGGUUUGAAAGUGCACAGGGACCAGGCAGGGUGUGCAAAGUCGAGGAAGCACACCCCACGGGAGAGCCCAGGAAGCCUGCCCCAGAGAGCCUCUCACGGUCUCCACUCCCGUCCCAUCAGGGCUCCCGGGUGUUAAGAAAAAGGCACUGGGGCACUGGGAAAACCCUCCCUCCAAACAUGGCAUUAUGGCACAGUCAUUUCCAGAAAGUCCCCAGAGCCUGCACUCAGGGAACCAGAGCGGUGUGCCGAGACUCUUUCUGAUUGGCUUCUACAAACCCAAGCAUGGUGAAUAACACUUUACCAAAACUGAAGUAAAAUGAAAUCAAACAAAACACCCUCGGUGGAGAGGAACAAUGGCACAGAUAACUCAAAGGGAAGUAAAUCACUUAUAUUUGACUCUAAAGAUAACACGCACACGCGGUGUCUACCUGCUUACUGUGUUCCCAGGCCUCCUUCUGAGGAGUGCGGUCCUAGGGGCAUCAAGUCUGCUCGUGCUGUGUAGUGGGAAGUCACUGACUCUACUGCCACCCAACAGACGGGUGUUGGGGACUCAGCCAGGGGCAGCCCUAUGGUGGGCAGAGGCCCGCCUCUGCCUAUGAACUGAUCAGGUCUAACAACGUCUCUCACGAGGAUGCUCAGAUUCAGUGUGAGGACCAACCACAUCGGAUCCUCCCAUGAGCAAAGUUCACAUGUGAGAUUCAUCCAGCAAGGUGGUAGGGAGCUGCUGUCAGCCCCCGGAAGAAAGAAGGCCUGCUUUUUCUCUAGUCAUGGAGUUGUUGAGUCCUAGAGUGCCCUAGACUGCUGAGAAGGUUUUCUUUGUGUCCUUACUUCUCCAUCUAACUCAACAACAUCUUUCCAUCACCCCAAAGACCCAAGCACAUCUCUGCGCAGCCUGAAGCGGAUGAUAAACACCAGGAGACUUCCGUGCCAGGCAACCCCCACUACCUGCCAGAGGAGUCUUUCGAAUUCUGUUUUAAUUUGCAUCCCCUGAAGGAAGAGCUCGCUUGGAAAUCUAGGUGGCUGGACCCCCAGAUAUUGCAAUUGUGCUGGGUUGACAGGAUGAGAUGAGCAUGGGUCCCGCAAUGCAGGAAGAAGUACCGUCCUUUCACGGGGCUCCUGUGAGGCGGGGAGGCCCGCUGAGCUGGAAUUCAGGUCUAGUCCUUGAGAAAGGGACCUAAGCGCUCUAAGGCUCCCUUUCCUCCUUUGUAAAACAGGGCUCCUAGUACCUACCUUCAGAGGUUGUAGUAAGAAGUAAAUGAGAUCAUGGAUGCAGAGUACAUCGAAUAGCACCUGCUGGCAUAGUAAGUCCUGAAUAAACGAAGCUGGUGGAUUGCAGCCUGCCUGGAAUGGUCUGCGUGUACCUCAUCCUGGACGCUCAUCUGAAAACCUGGGAGAAGAUGUCCUGCUUCUCUAACAUCCACUGUGGGCUUCCAGGUGGGGUGGGACCUUCUCGUGGGAGCACAGGGAUGUGAGAAUGGAGAGGAAGGUGGCCGCAUUGCCGCUGGGCUUAUUUUUCUAAGCACCAGAUGAAACUUUCUUCCAGGCAAACUUUUUUUACAAAAAUAAUUUGAGACUGUUUUCCAGGGCAAAAUAUACUGUGCAGUCUUUGUGCCCACAGCACCUGUAGGAGGGGGUUGAAUUGAAGUUUUGUUCCAGGUCCUGAAAGUUUAUGGUCCAUUUAGCUGUGAAGCAGGGUUUAAU
ensembl:lncRNA